AAUGAAAAUCUUGCAUUCCUAGGGCGCUUGUCUCUCGCAUUGCGAGUAUAUGCGCACCUAGAGCGUACACGAUGAUACCCGAAAGAUGGUGAACUAUGCCUGGCCAGGACGAAGCCAGGGGAAACCCUGGUGGAGGUCCGCAGCGAUUCUGACGUGCAAAUCGAUCGUCAGAGCUGGGUAUAGGGGCGAAAGACCAAUCGAACCAUCUAGUAGCUGGUUCCCUCUGAAGUUUCCCUCAGGAUAGCUUGCGCUCAUUUUUUUUAGUUGAGUCUCAUCCGGUAGAGCGAAUGAUUAGAGGCAUUGGGGUCGAAACGACCUCAACCUAUUCUCAAACUCCAAAUAGAUGAGAACCUCGGCU
rnacentral:rRNA from 1 species